rnacentral:sRNA from 1 species
GGCCUAAACCAUUCGUAAGAGUGGCAUGGUCGUAAGAAGACCCAAUCACGGUACUGAACCCUGCGUUCAGCGACUCGUGAUUGGGCCAUAUCCCGAAAGGGGUGUGGGGCCGCAAGGCCU